rnacentral:rRNA from 1 species
AGAGUUUGAUUCUGGCUCAGGAUGAACGCUAGCGGCAGGCUUAACACAUGCAAGUCGAGGGGCAGCGGGGUGUAGCAAUACACUGCCGGCGACCGGCGCACGGGUGCGUAACGCGUAUGCAACCUACCCGUAACAGGGGGUAUAACGGAGAGAAAUUUCCACUAAUCCCCCAUAUUGCCAGGAAUUCGCAUGUUUUUCUGGCGAAAGCUUUGUUGUGGUUACGGACGGGCAUGCGUGACAUUAGGUAGUUGGCGGGGCAACGGCCCACCAAGCCGACGAUGUCUAGGGGAGCUGAGAGGCUUAUCCCCCACACUGGUACUGAGACACGGACCAGACUCCUACGGGAGGCAGCAGUGAGGAAUAUUGGUCAAUGGGAGGAAUCCUGAACCAGCCAUGCCCGCGUGGGGGAUGAAGGCCCUAUGGGUUGUAAACUCCUUUUGUUCCGGAGUAAUAAGGGGGAUGCGUCCCCUGAUGAGAGUACGGGACGAAUAAGCAUCGGCUAACUCCGUGCCAGCCGCCGC